ACAGGACUGCCCCUACUCCUCUGAGCACAUAUCUGGAGAACAGGGUUCGGAUAUGGAGGGCCCUCCUUCUAUACUCAAUAUCCCUCACUGGAACCGUCUUGGUUUGGGUUCUCGCUAACCCACCCACAUUGAACUACCAUCAAGGAGACCUACUGUGGAUUCUAUGGAGGAACCCUGUGUGUCCCCAGCUCCUACACGGACAUCACGAGUUGGGACACAACCUACCGCUGGAGUACUGCUCAGGAU